GAUGAACGCUGGCGGCGUGCCUAAUACAUGCAAGUCGAGCGAACAGACGAGGAGCUUGCUCCUUCGACGUUAGCGGCGGACGGGUGAGUAACACGUAGGUAACCUACCUAUAAGACUGGGAUAACUUCGGGAAACCGGAGCUAAUACCGGAUAAUAUUUCGAACCGCAUGGUUCGAUAGUGAAAGAUGGCUUUGCUAUCACUUAUAGAUGGACCUGCGCCGUAUUAGCUAGUUGGUAAGGUAACGGCUUACCAAGGCGACGAUACGUAGCCGACCUGAGAGGGUGAUCGGCCACACUGGAACUGAGACACGGUCCAGACUCCUACGGGAGGCAGCAGUAGGGAAUCUUCCGCAAUGGGCGAAAGCCUGACGGAGCAACGCCGCGUGAGUGAUGAAGGUCUUCGGAUCGUAAAACUCUGUUAUUAGGGAAGAACAAACGUGUAAGUAACUAUGCACGUCUUGACGGUACCUAAUCAGAAAGCCACGGCUAACUACGUG
rnacentral:rRNA from 1 species